rnacentral:rRNA from 1 species
GACGAACGCUGGCGGCGUGCUUAACACAUGCAAGUCGAACGGUAAGGCCCUUCGGGGUACACGAGUGGCGAACGGGUGAGUAACACGUGGGUGAUCUGCCCUGCACUUCGGGAUAAGCCUGGGAAACUGGGUCUAAUACCGGAUAGGACCCUGGGAUGCAUGUCCUGGGGUGGAAAGCUUUUGCGGUGUGGGAUGGGCCCGCGGCCUAUCAGCUUGUUGGUGGGGUGAUGGCCUACCAAGGCGACGACGGGUAGCCAGCCUGAGAGGGUGACCGGCCACACUGGGACUGGGAUACGGCCCAGACUCCUACGGGAGGCAGCAGUGGGGAAUAUUGCACAAUGGGCGCAAGCCUGAUGCAGCGACGCCGCGUGAGGGAUGACGGCCUUCGGGUUGUAAACCUCUUUCAGCACCGACGAAGCGCAAGUGACGGUAGGUGCAGAAGAAGGACCGGCCAACUACGUGCCAGCAGCCGCCGUAA